rnacentral:rRNA from 1 species
AGUGAACGCUGGCGGUGUGCCUAAUACAUGCAAGUCGAACGGAAGCACAGUAAGAUUGUGCCCUUACUGUUGGCGAGUGGCGGGCGGGUGAGGCAUACAUAACCAUCCUCUUUUUCGGGGGUGAUAUCGGAGGGAAAGAGACGCUAAUACCGCAUACUAUCAACGGGUGGGAGCAAGGGAUCAACGGAGCUUGCCCGUCUCAAAUAGCCGAUGCCGGAUUAGCUAGUUGGCGUGGUAAAGGCCCACCAAGGCAACGAUGCGUAGCUGGUCUGAGAGGAUGAUCGGCCACACUGGAACUGAGACACGGUCCAGACUCCUACGGGAGGCAGCAGUGGGGAAUAUUCGGCAAUGGGCGAAAGCCUGAUGCAGCCAUACCGCGUGAGUGAAGAAGGCCUUCGGAUUGUAAAGCCCUUUUGUUGGGGAAGAAAAGCAGCGGGUUAAUACCCCGAUGUUCUGACGGUACCCAAAGAAUAAGCACCGGCUAACUUCGUG